rnacentral:rRNA from 1 species
CAGUAAGGAAUAUUGGUCAAUGGACGAAAGUCUGAACCAGCCAUGCCGCGUGGAGGAUGAAUGCCCUCUGGGUUGUAAACUUCUUUUAUUUGGGACGAAACACUUCUUAUCUAAGGAGCUUGACGGUACCAGAUGAAUAAGCACCGGCUAACUCCGUGCCAGCAGCCGCGGUAAUACGGAGGGUGCAAGCGUUAUCCGGAUUCACUGGGUUUAAAGGGUGCGUAGGCGGACAUGUAAGUCUGUGGUGAAAUCUCCGAGCUUAACUCGGAAACUGCCGUGGAUACUAUAUGUCUUGAAUGUUGUGGAGGUUAGCGGAAUAUGUCAUGUAGCGGUGAAAUGCUUAGAUAUGACAUAGAACACCGAUUGCGAAGGCAGCUGGCUACACAACUAUUGACGCUGAGGCACGAAAGCGUGGGGAUCAAACAGGAUUAGA